CGCUCUAUAUCUAUGGGCAUGAACUAAUAACGGACGAUUAAGAACGUUUGGCAUAAAAAUAAUGUCUCUAUGGAUGAAUAAUCGUUUGCUUGACUUACCUCACGCCCCGCCUCUUCCAUUGAAAUUGGGGGGGCAAACUAUGCAGCAGUUGUAUGUCGAAAAUCGAACCGAUGAGAUGUUUUUAAUGUCACUCCGCGACAGGUAUCGAUUCUUCCAGUACUUCGUACAUUCUUUCACGCUUAACUUCGUUUAAUUAACCUUUCGUCUUCUUUUGUGCAUAUUAUUGGUCCAUUGCGAGGGAAACUUGGAUGCAUUAGAGUGGAUUAAAAAACGUUACGAAAUUCGAAAGGGCGCUGUGAUCGAUGAUGAAUCCGAUAACUUGUCGUGAUGGUUUGGUAACAUUUGAUUUAUUUUAAUAAA
rnacentral:lncRNA from 1 species